GAUGAACGCUAGCGGCAGGCCUAAUACAUGCAAGUCGAACGGGUGGUCGCAAGACCACUAGUGGCGCACGGGUGCGUAACGCGUAACCAACCUGCCCCGAUCUGGGGGAUAGCCCGCCGAAAGGCGGAUUAAUACCGCAUAUACCCGCAGCCUGGCAUCAGGCAACGGGGAAAGAUUUAUUGGAUCGGGAUGGGGUUGCGUGACAUUAGCUAGUUGGCGGGGUAAGGGCCCACCAAGGCGACGAUGUCUAGGGGACCUGAGAGGGUGAUCCCCCACACUGGCACUGAGAUACGGGCCAGAAUACUACGGGAGGCAGCAGUAGGGAAGAUUGGGCAAUGGGCGAGAGCCUGACCCAGCCAUGCCGCGUGACGGAUGAAGGCCUUCUGGGUUGUAAACGGCUUUUCUCAGGGAAGAAAAAGACCUUGCGAGGGAAACUGACGGUACCUGAGGAAUAAGCACCGGCUAACUCCGUG
rnacentral:rRNA from 1 species